AUGGUGUUUUAUCUGGAGACAUUGUUCAUAUUUUAAAACACCAUGACUAUGAUUCAAGUCAUGGUGUUUUAUCUGGAGACAUUGUUCAUGGCGUGGUGUUAAAACAUCUAUGAUUCAAGUCAUGGUGUUUUAUCAGGAGACAUUGUUCAUGGCGUGGUGUUUUAUCAAUACAAAAACAUCCCCAGAUUUUAAAACACCAUGACUAUGAUUCAACUCAUGGUGUUUUAUCUGUAGACAUUGUUCAUGGUGUGGUGUUUUAAACAUCUAUGAUUCAAGUCAUGGUGUUUUAUAUGGAGAUAUUGUAUAAUCAGAUUCAUGGCGUGUUGUUUUAAAAUAACUGGAUAAAUUGACUAUGAUUCAAGUCAUGGUGUUUUAUCUAGAACCCAGAAAACAUUGUAUUGCGAUUACAUCCAUGGUGUUUUAACAUCUGGACAAUCAAAAUACAAAACAUUCCCAUAUUUUAAAACACCAUGACCAUGAUUCAAGUCACGAUCAGAAAUGAGGAUGACGAAGAUGAAAGACGAUGACGGUGAAUGAUUUGUGGAGAUGAAAGAAAUUGGUGACGGUGGUCGGAUAUGCAUGUGUGUUCAAAUCGGAGAAGAUGACGUGAAGAUGAUGAUGAAACAAUCAAUCCCUAAAAAUUCUCAUGGCCAGUUUUUUUUUUUUUCAGUUAUAUUGUAAAUCAAUUAAAUGACAAAAAUGUACAAUUACUAAUCUACCCUUUUGAAUUAAUUAAGAGGAGGGACACUUGUCAUUCCAAGAUUAUUUCUUACACUUCUUACAAAAGAUGGACUUUUUACAGGAUCCUUUACCUAUAUUUUAAUAUCAAAAUAAUUUUAUCG
rnacentral:lncRNA from 1 species